GAAAUGCGAUAAGUAGUGUGAAUUGCAGAAUUCAGUGAAUCAUCGAAUCUUUGAACGCACAUUGCGCCCCUUGGUAUUCCAUGGGGCAUGCCUGUUCGAGCGUCAUUUGUACCCUCAAGCUCUGCUUGGUGUUGGGUGUUUGUCCCGUCUCCGCGCGUGGACUCGCCCCAAAGUGAUUGGCAGCCGGCGUACUGGUCCCGGAGCGCAGCACAUGUCGCGCAAACGAGUGCCUUGGUACGGCGGCGUCCAUAAGCCCCUCUCUCACGCUCUUGACCUCGGAUCAGUUAGGGAUACCCGCUGAACUUAAGC
rnacentral:misc_RNA from 1 species